rnacentral:rRNA from 1 species
GACGAACGCUGGCGGCGUGCCUAAUACAUGCAAGUUGAGCGCUGAAGGUUGGUACUUGUACCAACUGGAUGAGCAGCGCACGGGUGAGUAACGCGUGGGGAAUCUGCCUUUGAGCGGGGGACAACAUUUGGAAACGAAUGCUAAUACCGCAUAAAAACUUUAAACACAAGUUUUAAGUUUGAAAGAUGCAAUUGCAUCACUCAAAGAUGAUCCCGCGUUGUAUUAGCUAGUUGGUGAGGUAAAGGCUCACCAAGGCGAUGAUACAUAGCCGACCUGAGAGGGUGAUCGGCCACGUUGGGACUGAGACACGGCCCAAACUCCUACGGGAGGCAGCAGUAGGGAAUCUUCGGCAAUGGACGAAAGUCUGACCGAGCAACGCCGCGUGAGUGAAGAAGGGUUUCGGAUCGUAAAACUCUGUUGGUAGAGAAGAACGUUGGUGAGAGUGGAAAGCUCAUCAAGUGACGGUAACUACCCAGAAAGGGACGGCUAACUACGUG